AUUGAACGCUGGCGGCAGGCCUAACACAUGCAAGUCGAACGAGUGGCGGACGGGUGAGUAAUGUCUGGGAAACUGUCCGAUGGAGGGGGAUAACUACUGGAAACGGUAUCUAAUACCGCAUACCAUCGGAUGUGCCCAGAUGGGAUUAGCUAUUAGGUGGGGUAACGGCUCACCGAGGCGACGAUCCCUAUCUGGUCUGAGAGGAUGACCAGCCAAACUGGAACGGAGACACGGUCCAGACUCCUACGGGAGGCAGCAGUGGGGAAUAUUGCACAAUGGGCGCAAGCCUGAUGCAGCCAUGCCGCGUAUAUGAAGAAGGCCGUCGGGUUGUAAAGUACUUUCAGCGAGGAGGCGUUACUCGCAGAAGAAGCACCGGCUAACUCCGUGCCAGCCGCCGCGGUAAUUC
rnacentral:rRNA from 1 species